rnacentral:rRNA from 1 species
UACGGGGGGGGCAAGCGUUGUUCGGAAUUACUGGGCGUAAAGCGCGCGUAGGCGGCUUUGCAAGUCGGGUGUGAAAUCCCCAGGCUUAACCUGGGAACUGCAUUCGAGACUGCAUCGCUAGAGUAUCGGAGAGGGAAGUGGAAUUUCAGGUGUAGCGGUGAAAUGCGUAGAUAUCUGAAGGAACAUCAGUGGCGAAAGCGACUUCCUGGACGAAUACUGACGCUCAUGUGCGAAAGCGUGGGGAGCAAACAGG